rnacentral:rRNA from 1 species
GGCAGCAGCUAAGAAUAUUCCGCAAUGGGGGAAACCCUGACGGAGCGACGCCGCGUGGAUGAAGAAGGCCGGAAGGUUGUAAAAUCCUUUUAUGACUGAGGAAUAAGGAAGGUGAGAGAAACGCCUUCUGGUGACGGUAGGUCAUGAAUAAGCAACGGCUAAUUACGUGCCAGCAGCCGCGGUAACACGUAAGUUGCGAGCGUUGUUCGGAAUUAUUGGGCGUAAAGGGCAUGUAGGCGGACCUGCAAGUCUGGUGUGAAAUCCCGGGGCCCAACCCCGGGACUGCGUUGGAAACUGCAGGACUGGAGUCACUGAGGGGCAGGCAGAAUUCCUGGUGUAGGGGUGAAAUCUGUAGAUAUCAGGAAGAGUACCGAUGGCGAAGGCAGCCUGCCAGCAGAUGACUGACGCUGAGGUGCGAAGGUGCGGGGAGCGAACAGGAUUAGGUACCCUGGUAGUCCGCACAGUCAACGAUGUACACUGGGUGUCCGCUCAGGAGAGUGGGUGCCGAAGCAAACGCGGUAAGUGUACCGCCUGGGGAGUAUGCCCGCAAGGGUGAAACUCAAAGGAAUUGACGG